ensembl:lncRNA
GAAGUAUUACAUAAUCAUGUACUCUGUACUGUCUCUAAACUUUUCUCUGUAGAGACACAAGGUGGACAUCGAGCGCUGGAGACAAAGAAGGCAGUCCAGGAAAGGCAUUUAUGUAUCACCAUUACUAAAAGCUUUCCCUUUCAAGAAAACCAAAAAACCAAGACUGCUGACAAAGACAACUGGAUCAUGGGCAACAAACAAAGAAGAAAUCUGUGAGCAAAACUUGUCUUCAAAAGCUUCUACUGGGCAGCCCAAGUCCAAAAAAAAAAAAAAACCCAAAAAAACAAGAGGGUAAUGGAAAAGUAGAGUAUAAUACUUCACAGCCAUCAAAAGAUUCAGUUGGAGAGCCCAAGCCCAGAAAAGAAGAAAAGGACAUUGUCACUGAGGCCGCAAGUCACAUCCUAAAUGAUGACACUGUGCAGGCUCUCUGGAAUUUGAAGGACACUGAAGUGGUGCUUGCAGUGGUUCAGUCAAUUGAGUGUUAUUAGAUAGAUAUUUAAGGAGUAAAAGACAGUCCACUGUAAAUGACACAUGGAAUUCUUAGGAUACUUUUGAAUACGUUUUAUAAAUAUUUUUUAUGUAAAAGGACAGAUAAUAUUUUUACCAAAUGAUUUACAGAACAUUAUUUAUUGUAAAUUGAAAUGCUUAAUGUCAUCAACCUUUCAAUAC